GACGAACGCUGGCGGCGCGCUUAACACAUGCAAGUCGAGCGAAGCGGCGGACGGGUGAGUAACACGUGAGUAACCUGCCUUAGACAUUGGGAUAGCCUCGGGAAACCGGGACUAAUACCAAAUGUUCUAAGAUGGACUCGCGUCCCAUUAGCUAUUGGGUGAGGUAACGGCCCACCAAGGCGACGAUGGGUAGCCGGCCUGGGAGGGGGAACGGCCACAUUGGAACUGAGAAACGGUCCAAACUCUACGGUAGGCAGCAGUGGCGAAUAUUGCACAAUGGAGGGAACUCUGAUGCAGCGACGCCGCGUGAACGAAGAAGGCUUUCGAGUCGUAAAGUUCUUUUAUAUGGGAAGCGGUACCAUAAGAAAAAGCCCCGGCUAACUACGUGCCAGCAGCCGCGGUAAUAC
rnacentral:rRNA from 1 species